rnacentral:rRNA from 1 species
AUGGUGAAGGCCAUGGCGGGAUGCCCGGCGAAGAUGAGGUUCCGGAUGCCCGCCGAGUGGGAGCCGCACGAGCAGUGCUGGAUGGGCUGGCCGGAGCGUCCAGACAACUGGCGGGAGCAUGCUGAGCCAGCUCGAAAAACAUUUGAGAGAACUGCAAUUGCCAUUUCAAAGUUUGAGCCUGUCACCAUUUGCGCAAGUGCCAAACAGUAUCCUCGUGUCCACGAGCUGAUGGAACACCAACCGAACAUCAGGGUGGUCGAGAUGAGCAUGAAUGAUUCCUGGUUCCGUGAUACUGGUCCCACUUUUAUUACCCGUGAAGGCGGAUCUGAUAUAGGACUCGCAGAGCAAACAAUAGCGGGGAUUGACUGGGAAUUUAACGCAUGGGGAGGACUCGGUGGUGGUUGCUUUGAUGAUUGGAGUCUUGACAGAAGCAUUGCCAAGAAGAUAGUUGAGAUUGAGAGGAUCCCUAGGUUUGCACACACAAUGGUUCUUGAGGGUGGAAGCAUUCAUGUAGAUGGAGAAGGUACAUGCAUUACAACAGAAGAAUGCUUGUUGAAUCCUAACAGGAACCCUCACAUGACUAAACUAGAGAUAGAGAAUGAACUGAAGGAUUUUCUUGGAGUCACGAAGAUCAUUUGGAUACCUCUGGGACUACACGGUGACGAGGAUACAAAUGGGCAUGUUGACAAUUUAUGCUGUUUCAUCAAACCCGGCGUGAUUCUCUUGUCAUGGACGGAUGACGAGAACGACCCGCAGUACGAGAUAUCUGUGAAGGCACUAUCAGCUCUCACUCAGGCCGUCGAUGCGAAAGGGCGGCAGAUAGAGGUGGUGAAGAUCCACGUGCCAGGGCCUCUGUACAUCACGAAGGAAGAGGGGGAAGGUGUUCUUGCAACGGGGCAUGCUGUACCGAGGGUACCAGGCAAGAGAUUGGCCGCCUCAUAUGUGAACUUCUACCCAGCGAAUGGCGGGAUCAUAGCGCCGGCUUUUGGCGAUAAGAAGCGGGAUGACGAAGCGUGCGAGGUUCUUCAGAAGGCAUUUCCUGAUCGUGAGGUUGUGAUGGUGGAAGGCGCAAGGGAGAUCGUGCUGGGAGGUGGGAACAUACACUGCAUCACGCAGCAGCAGCCGGUGCGCCCGUCAUAG